UCUGUAAUUACAAUACAUAAACAAAAUUACUAAAAUUCAAAAUGGAGACGACCGAAAGAACAAUAUUAUUUGAACGUAUACUAUAUAAAGUAAUACACUCGAAUUAAAUAAAAAAACUAUUAUUAAGUUUAUCGUUUCGAAAAUUAAGAGAAGUUUAAAAAGAUAACAGACGAUCGGAAUAAACAAAAUGUCGACGAAUUUUGAACAACAGAGAGCGCUAUCGUUCGUCAUCAAUUAUGGGCGAGUGUGACUCGAUUCUUUAGAAAAAUUUUUGUAAUAUAUAUUCUUCAAAUAUAUAUAUAUAACGUUGCAAUUAUAAACUUAUGCAAAGAAAUGUAAAUAAUGUUUCGAAACUAAAAGUUUCAAAAGGAUAUGGAAUGUGAGGAAAAUCCUUUUUUAGCCAUGUCUCAAGAUCAGAUACAAAAAAUAGAUGCUGUUCUACAGUCAGAGCAGGCAAAAGUGUUACUUCAAGAAUCUUCUCACUCAGUGAAAUUAUUUGAAGGAACACCGGAGAAAGAAAGUCUAGUGUGCUGUGUGCCAGAAAAGUUUGAGAAUUGCUGAUGUAAAGUAUGUGAUAUACUAUCUCUUGUUUAGCACAAAAUAAGGUAAUAGUUAAUACAAUAUCUUUGUUUUUGGCCCAUCAGUUGUAAAUAUAUAACCACAUAUCUGGAUUUCAUUCUAUAUGAAUCAUCUAUUACUUUACAUUAUUAAUAAUAUAUUUCUGGAUGGAAUAGUUUUUUGUCCUUUUAUAAAAACUUAUCAAAAUUUGGGUCUCUGUAUGUUUGUUUGUCAAAGUGAUAUGUCUUCCUUGUUAAGAUAUAAUUUACAUAUGAUAUAGUAUAUGUUGAUUAAAAGUAAAAUUUAAAGCCAAAUUAAUUGCUGAACUAUUUAGCUAUAAUAUGGCUAUGUAAUUAAUUAAUACUAAAUAAUUUGUUUUAGAGGUUGUAAGAAUUAUUCUCAACAAGUAAAAUGGCAAAAUUGUAUUUGGGACAAGACUAUUUCUCGGAGAUGGAAUCACUUUGAUGCUCAAGUCAGGUCUCGUUCUCAUUAUCCUAUCUUCUUUGGUAUCACUGCUUUUGGGUGCGAUCGUUCAAACUUCGCCGGUCACGACCAUGAGAUCAUCCACGAUACAUCUUCCAUGAAAUUAACCUAAUUUCAAAAUUUCUCUCUGUUGCGUGUCGGCCCGGGUUAAAUUUUUGUUGAUGCAUAACAAAAAGUUCCCGUUUUUGAAAAAAAUAAUCGU